rnacentral:rRNA from 1 species
ACGAGCGCAACCCUUGAUCUUAGUUGCCAGCAUUCAGUUGGGCACUCUAAGGUGACUGCCGGUGACAAACCGGAGGAAGGUGGGGAUGACGUCAAAUCAUCAUGCCCCUUAUGACCUGGGCUACACACGUGCUACAAUGGACAGAACAAAGGGCAGCGAAACCGCGAGGUUAAGCCAAUCCCACAAAUCUGUUCUCAGUUCGGAUCGCAGUCUGCAACUCGACUGCGUGAAGCUGGAAUCGCUAGUAAUCGCGGAUCAGCAUGCCGCGGUGAAUACGUUCCCGGGCCUUGUACACACCGCCCGU